rnacentral:siRNA from 1 species
UCAUUGGUUGUGGUACAUGGUA